GCCGUUUCGAGGUGCGGGUGCGCCCUCUCCCCGCACGCUGCGUGCGCGUCGCGCCAUUUGCGGGGGCGUGGGUAACGCUGCCCUCGAAACCCCCCUCGACCCAAUCCAAUCGCCCGCACGCCGCAACCCUUCCUCCCUCCUUGAUCUCUCUCCCUCAGCCGCCACGAACCCUAGCCCCUUUUCCUACGAUCCCGCGGUCGCUGCCCUUGCUCCAUCCGACCUCCCUCGUCAGCCGCCGCCGCUAUGGCUCCUCCGUCCUCCGACUCUGUCUCCCCAAUUCAUCCUCCAUCCCUUUCUGCUCGAGGUGCUCAUCGGCCCAGGUCGUGAGGAAGCCGCGUGAGGAGGAGCCCAGGUCGCGAAGCCGCGUGAGGAGGAGAGACCUCGCCCGAGAAGCUGUGGGAGGAGGGCCUCAACCAGAGAGGAGCGGCUGCCAGCCAUGUAGUCGGCUCAGCUCGACACCGUCCUUGGCGUCCGGGCCGCGGCAGACCCUAGCGCCAUCCUUCAGGAGUCUUCACGACCGCCAGGUGCGCAUCUUUCAGGAUUUAAUAAUGAGUUAUGUUGGGCUUCAUUGGACAAAUGAUCUACCUGGAGCAAUGAUACAGCUACUGGACUGGUUUUAGUUGAUAAUAAAUUGUUCUCUAUUUCAAAGAGCAACAACACGAGAUUGUGCGCUGUCUUGCUCCAGCAUGCAAUGCGCCAGGUUCUACUGCAACAGUAUGACAUACAAAGUGAUGGAGGAGAGGUGUUCAGAGAAAGAGUUAUACAUGUGCCAGGUUCUGAAGUAUGAGGAUCCGGUGCGACAGGAAGCAGCUGUGAAUAUGGUUCCUGUAGAUGAACUUAAGGAGAAGGCGCUUAUUUCACUGGCCAAGGAAACAUGUGAAAAAGGUGGGAUCUUUCCGUCGGCUUUCGCAGCUGGCUAUAUGCAUCAUAGAGCAUCUAAUCUGCAUCAACUUUAGACAUGGUGUGGAGCGUCGACCACGGCGAGCUUGGCUAAUGUCAACACAUGAAGGUGAGUUUCACCCAAUCCCUUUUCACUCCUCUCUCUCUCCCUCUCUAAUUCCAUCUAACUCUGCAGCUCGGCAAGCUUAUGCAAUGUGCUCUGUUUCCAUACUUUUUAUUGUUUUAAAUAGAUAUCACUCAGGAGAGCAUGUUCUUUAGGUUAGCAUUACUGUGAAGGACCUAUACCUUCCUGUUUAAUUGAUUAUGUUUGCACAACAUGUAUUUUCAAAAUUAGUUGUUCAUGUGCGAAGAAUUUUGUUAGUUUUUAGUUUUAAAAAGGUAUACAUUGGUUCCUAAUUUGACCCAAGCAGCCAAAAUGGAUGGAUAUAUUUUUUGUGGUGUUCUAAGGGAAGCAGGCCCUCUGUUACAGCUUGCUAGCCAUUUUUGUUUGUGAAUACACAAGGGUGCCUUGCCUUCUCUACUCUGAUGUUUCGGGUAUUUGAUAGCCUUGCUGCACACGUUUUGUUUGAAUGUCUUUGUGAUCGUACUGACAUGUUAUAUUUCGUCCUCAGCUGGGUCAAGUACAGAAGACGAAACACAAGAUUCAAGAUCACUCUCUUGUAUGUGAUUAUUUACUCAUUUCGAGCCAUUUUGCAACCCAGCUUGACUUCUUUUAUUUUGUGAUCUGAGCUAUACACACCAAAAUUAGCCCACGCUUCAGUUAGAUGAGAGAGCUAAGAGAUAAUAUGGUAAACAAUUUCUAUCAAGUGGGUGAGCUCCAUUUUUCAAGGUAAGUCAGGUGACAGCCAAAAAAAACCAAGGAGAUGAGUCUCUUAUCAGUUGAUUUGAUCUUAUCCAGGUUCUAUUUUCUUUCAGGCCAUGAGUUACGAUGUCUUGGUUAGAGCUACUACAUUCAAAGAGUAAAUCUGUUUCGUUGUACUGGAUUUAUGUACAUUGUAUGAAAAAGGUGCAUCUAUUAUGCCCUGUAGAAUUUUCAGCUGAGCAAUUGUGUAGACUUACAAAGCUAUCAUGACCAGAUGUUAGUGAUUUUUGUAUUGGGGCCAUGUUACAUCUCUAGGGUUGAAUUAAUGGCUAGAAAUUCAGAGUUACAUAGCUGAAAACAGGGUUGCUCGAAGCAAACAAGCUGCUUAUUCAGUAUUUUUAACACUCAUGGAAAAGGUAUAUGCUCAUCCUAAAUUCCAAAUUAUUAUUAUAUCACAUAACUGAAAGUGCAUUAGACCAAUGGUGUUAUCAGAAAUAAAUUUCUGCCCCAUAGCUGAACGGUGUCUUUUCUCAGUGUGUAUAUAUGUUAGAGAUGUGUAUGAUUCGGAUAAUUUUCUUCAUUUGUUAACUUUACCAAUGUAUGGCUGACAUGCUUCAUUAUGUUAUAUCACAUCUGAAAGUGCAUUACACCGGUGGUUUAUUAGAAUGGAUAAUUUCGGUCAAAUAAUUGAGUUCUUUUCUUCUGUGUAUAUACAAGUUAUAGAUGUGCAUGAUUAUGUUUAUUCUCUACAUUUGGUAAAUUCACCUAUGUAUGGCUGACAUACUUCUUCAGGUUAUGUUUCUAAAGCUCCAUGCUUAAUCAUCCAGAAUGUUUCCAAGUGACUGCUUUACACAUGGGAGACUGGAUGCAUAGAGGAGUUCAGAGAAGCUGGUGUUAUGUUACAUAUGGUCUUCAAGCUGAUGUUAUGUUUCUUCCAUGGUUUGUAUAUUUGUUGCAAAAACAUAGUACAAGAAAAAGAUCUAUGCUCAUGAAGAUGGCAGAAGGGAACUACAUGUGGAACAAGAACCACCAGCGCUGACCAGUUGGGCGUCUGGAUAGUGGUAGUGCACAAAAAUUGCUUGCCGUAUAGAGUCAACGUAAUCUACUACUAGGCCACUCGCUGAUUUUUAUGUUAUGAAAUUAUAGUUCAACCAUAGUAUGUAUUUACACUCCUGCUGUGAGAUUGUACUACAUAAAUUAUGGGAGGACAAAGUAGGCCUUUAUAUGCAAAUAACUCCUUGUUGAAAUGAGUAACUUGAGCCAUUUGGCACAACAGGUCUAUUUUCUUACUUGCAAUAAUGUGCAUUGCCUUUUA